CUCGUAGGCGGACUCUUAAGUCGGGGGUGAAAGCCCAGGGCUCAACCCUGGAAUUGCCUUCGAUACUGAGAGUCUUGAGUUCGGAAGAGGUUGGUGGAACUGCGAGUGUAGAGGUGAAAUUCGUAGAUAUUCGCAAGAACACCAGUGGCGAAGGCGGCCAACUGGUCCGAUACUGACGCUGAGGCGCGAAAGCGUGGGGAGCAAACA
rnacentral:rRNA from 1 species